ACCGUCGAUAGACGGCAACUGAUCACGAUUGAAGGCAUCAAUCAUAGUAAGAUGAUCCUUCCCACCGUCCAAUUGAGAGUCGUACGGCCUCACCUUACCAAGGUAUGUACACUUGCAGUUGCCAGCUACCUUCCAGGAGGUUACGACCUCAUCCUAGGGCAUGACCUGAAGUCUCCCAUUACCAAGGGCCCGCUGAGAGGUAUUGCACCUCCGGUACCCGCCACAGGUCCAGUCGACCUCAACUCUCUGCCAGUGCCACUUGGCAGCACUGAGCAGUGCCAAGCUCCGUCAGCAUGGACGUAGAGCCACCACAGAACUUGACUUCUGCGCCUGGCCCCGAGCUAGCGCCGGCGCCUAACCUUAUCAAGGAUCCUCCUACAGGAGAUCCUCCAACAGGCAUGGAGCUUACCACAGCCCAUGGCCAAUCCAAGGUCCAUGAGUCUUCUUCACCCUCACCACUGUCGCCCGAGGAUGAACCUCCGGCAGACCUAACAUUCUCACCUCAUCUGGAAAACCAGGAACUGCCCGACCAGGAGUCAGCCUGGAGUUUUCCCCUUAUGACGGUUGUCGCAGCAGCCGAAGUGAGGGGCUCCCCUGCAGUAGGUUCCACCUCUACGACGAAUGCUGCAGAUACCAAAGUAGGGUGUUCUCCUGAAAUCCCUCAGGCUACCACUGCCGCUGCUCCUGACGGCGUUUCUGGCCUUACCCCAGAGUCGGUGCCUCCGUCUACUCCUAGGACUGGUAUAGCCAGGUCCUGGAGGAAUAAGAAGAAGAAGAAGAAGGGACGUAGCAAAUCAUUAACACACUAACCAAAGAGCCACAUGCUCUCCUUGACACCUGUGCCCGAGGUACAGUGUCGCAUUCAAUUGCAGAGUGAUCCUGGCACCUACCCAGAGAAGGUAGCCAGCCUGAUCUCUGCCAGUAGAACUAACCCUCUAACCCCUAGCCAUUGUAAUACUAACCCUCACUUAAAUAUAAUUACCUCAUUACAUUUCUAUCCUGGUAAUGCACUAACCACUCAUCAGCCUCACGCAUCAUUACCUCACCUCAUGUAUUUUAACAAUUCCUGCGGCACAUCACUGCUGUGCGUACCACACUCUGGAAUGAUUGCGUCUUCAUUUAACUAUAAUGAGUAGGUUAGGCUAAUGAUUUAGUACCAGGGCAUUAGGUUAGUAGCAAGUAGAAUUUUCAAGUAACCUUAUCUAGGGGUAGAGUAGACUGUCAUCACAGACAACCUGUAGUUAUUACUUAGGCUAGACUACAUUACUACAUUAAGUUAGUCCACUUAGCAUCUCCGCCUAUAAGUUAGGUAGGCCACUGUAGUUAGCUGUAUCGCUGCUCUAAAAAACUUCAAGUUAGAGUAGGAGAACUGGGUAGUCAAGACGAUCAACUUAUUUAAGCCAAGGCCUUCACGCCCGAAAGGGAGUGAAUGCCUUCUUAACAGGGGGAGCUGCUACGUUUAUAGAAUGCCUCACCUUCCCAGCAGGUUUUUAGUAAUAUUAGUUAUAAAAGAAGCAGCCAUGCCUUCUCCUAAAGCAACUGAUGUUGGGAGAGAGAGCAUGUCGUAGGGAGGUAUUUCCGGUCUGACGGAAGCUUAGGGUAAGAGAGGCAAGUCACAAGAGUAGCUAGGCUUCGAAAUGGAUCUUAGGGACCUCUACAAUAAGACCUCUUUUUCCUUCCCAAUUUGCUGGCUGUGGUGAUCACUUUUCAGGCAGUGCCCGAGGCGGUAUUUGGAAGUCCCGUGAUACGAAGACAAUCAGGAUCUCCCCCAGUCGACUGCAGGACGUGACCCCGGACAGAUGUCCAGCCGGCCAGCCUCCCACACUUAAGCCUAUCGGCUCGGCGUACUGGCGGGCAUGAACCCCAGACCUGAACAAAGUCAGGCCGCAUUCUUCCACAAUGAUACACUGAAUAUUGCAUCCAGAUUCCCUGAGUCACGUACGAAGUCUGUCUGCCCGCAAGUGUUGCAUUACCCAAGUUUAUGAAACCAGCUUGUAUGAAUCACAUCUUAGCCAGCUAUCCAUUUGUGAGAGAUUAUAAGUCCCAACGUGGGGACCAAUAGCAUUUACUUUUCUCCAGGCCAGUACGAGCCUUUUGUAAAUAAAUAGCUGUAAAGUAA